UUGCGCCCAUAUUACGUUGAAACACGGGUUAAUGUACGAUCACCGAAGUUCAGCAGCGUCGAGUCUGGUCAGUACCUACAUGGGUGACCGCUUGGAAAUACCAGGUGCUGUAA